rnacentral:rRNA from 1 species
CAGUCGCCACGGUAAUACGGAGGGGGCUAGCGUUGUUCGGAAUUACUGGGCGUAAAGCGCACGUAGGCGGCUUUGUAAGUUAGAGGUGAAAGCCCGGAGCUCAACUCCGGAAUUGCCUUUAAGACUGCAGAGCUAGCAGGUGAGAGAGGUGAGUGGAAUUCCGAGUGUAGAGGUGAAAUUCGUAGAUAUUCGGAAGAACACCAGUGGCGAAGGCGGCUCACUGGCUCAUACUGGACGCUGAAGUGCGAAAGCGUGGGGAGCAAACAGGAUUAGAUACCCGCGUAGUCCCUGUCUCUUAUAA